GGGAUAGCUCAGUUGGUAGAGCUUGAGAUUCCUAAUCUCAGGGUUGUGGGUUCAAGCCUGGCACGGGGUUGGACCA